UGGGGUGUAGCUUAGUGGUAGAGCAAUUGUCUCACGUGCAUGAGGCCCUGGGUUUGAUCCCUAGCACUGCAA
rnacentral:tRNA from 1 species